ensembl:lncRNA
AGGCCACUUCCUGGAGGUGAAUACACCACAGUAUUUCUUGAAUAUUUAGUUCCCUUAUUUAUUUAUUUUUUUGGGGGGGAUUCAUACAUACCCAAAACCAUGCUGGUCAAGCCUGUGCAAUUCAAGGGACAGGAAGAAAGUAACAGACGGAUCCAUGAAAUUAAGAAUAGAUCCUCAUUAUUUCAUAUGAUUUUUAUGUAGGAUCCUUAUCAAAUCACUAUCAAAAUCAUAGAUCCCAUAUAUACUCACAGACUGCACAAAAAUUAUGUAUCCUUUGACACAUAGGGCUUUGCAGUGGCACAAACAUGGAUCCAAGGCAUGGAUCCUCAUGGUUUCCUGUAAUUUUUAGAUAUAAUCCUCCCUAAACCACUGUUGGAUCAUAGGUCCCAUUUGCCCUCACAGACUACACCACAGAAAUCAUGUGUCCUUCAGUGCACAGCUUUGCAUUGGUGCAAAACAUUAUUUAUGAGGCACACAGCCUCGUGCAACCACAUGAUCUUUCAGUAACAUCCUCUCCAAACCACUGUCCAAUUAUAGGCCCCAUCUGUGCCCACAGGCUACAUCACAGAAAUCAUAAGUCCCUCAGUGCAUGGCUUUCCAGUGGUGCAAAAACAUGGAUCUGAGGUACAGAUCUUCAAGGAUCCACAUGAUUUUCAAGUAGGAUCAUCCUCAAGCCAGUCCCAAAUAGUAAAUUCCAUUUGUACCCACAGACUAAUAGAGAUCAUGCCACUGCAGUGGUGCAAAUACAUGCUUCCCAGGCUCAGAUUCUCAUGGACACACAAAAUUUCAAUGUAAGAUCAUUUCCAAACCACUGUCCUGUCAUAGGCCCCCUCUGUAACCACAGACUACAGCACAGAAAUUAGGGGGUCAGUGCAUGGCUUUGAAGUUAAAGAAAAACAUUUAUCUGAGCCAUGGAUCCUCAUGGAUUCACAGGAUUUUUAUGUGGGAUGUGCCCCAAGCCAGAUCUUGCCCCUUUGCACUGAUCCUGGGUAGGACCAUGAAAAGUAAUACCCAGGGUCAGUGCAAUACCCAGCAUCAUGUGCUUGAUGGCAAUUGUGCUUCUGUUGUACACCUCAGGAUGACCAAAAGAGUGUCACAAAGAACAAGAUGGAGUUCCCUCCCAUCCCAUGCCCAAAGUCUGACUGGAAAGACAGUUGCAUCUUUCUUCAAAACAAUGCCACUAGCAUGUGAGGAGGUGGUGCCCGUGUUCCUGCUCUGCAGGCACCCCAGCAGAGGAAGGCCUGCUCCUUUACCUGCCAGGCAGGACCCUGAAAAGCCGACGCCCUGCCAUCGCAAACGUUUCCUAAAGCCAAACGAAACCCGAGACCCUGCCCUCAGGGACCCUCCAGUCUGAAUCCACAAAGCUUCUAAUCAGCAGAGAAAAGGGAGGGAGAGAAGAGCAGGGAAAUCCUCCUCCUUUCUUAGCCUUGGAGGUGAUGAAGGAGAGGAGAAGAGGGGCAACCACAGGUACAUGGAGAACUCUGUGGUCGACAUCUAACAGAGCAUAGCUUCUUCCAGACCUUUAGGGCAGACAGACAGGAUGAGGGGAGAGGAGGUGCCGGGUCCCCCUCACAAUUUUUUUUUUGUUGUUGUUGUUUAGUCGUGUCUGACUCUUUGUGACCCCAUGAACCAGAGCACACCAGGCCCUCCUGUCUUCCACUGCCUCCCAGAGUUUGGUCAAAUUCAUGUUGGUAACUUCGAUGACACUGUCCACCCAUCUCGUCCUCCGUCGUCCCCUUCUCCUCUUGCCUUCACACUUUCCUAACAUCAGGGUCUUUUCCAGGGAGUCUUCUCUUCUCAUGAGAUGGCCAAAGUAUUGGAGCCUCAGCUUCAGGAUCUGUCCUUCCAAUGAGCUCUCAGGCUUGAUUUCCUUUAGAACUGAUAGGUUUGAUCUCCUUGCAGUCCAGGAGACUCUCAAGAGCCGCCUCCAACACCACAAUUCAAAAGCAUCAAUUCUUCGGCUGUCAGCCUUCUUUAUGGUCUAGCUCUCACUUCCAUACAUCACUACUGGAAAAACCAUAGCUUUGACUAUGCGGACUUUUGUUGGAAAGGUGAUGUCUCUGCUCUUUUAGAUUCUGUCUAGGUUUGUCAUCGCUUUCCUCCCAAGAAGCAGGCAUCUUUUAAUUUUAUGGCUGCUGUCACCGUCAGCAGUGAUCAUGGAGCCCAAGAAGGUAAAAUCUGUCACUGCCUCCAUAUCUUCCCCUUCUAUUUGCCAGGAGGUGAUGGGACCAGUGGCCAUGGUUUAGUUUUUUUGAUGUAAAGCUUCAGACCAUUUUUUGCACUCUCCUCUUUCACCCUCAUUAAGAGGUUCUUUAAUUCCUCCUCACUUUCUGCCAUCAUAGUGGUAUCAUCUG